rnacentral:rRNA from 1 species
GAUGAACGCUGGCGGCGUGCCUAACACAUGCAAGUCGAACGAAAAGACGAGGUGGUUUCCUGACGGACGUUAGCCGCGGAAGUGAGAGAAACAAGCGUACCACCUCCUUAUAAGUCUGGGAGCAAAACGUGAAAUCGGAGCUCAUACGGGAUAAUAUAUUGAACCGCAUGGUUCAAUAGUGAAAGACGGUUGUGCUGUCGCUUAUAGAUGGAUCCGCACCGCAUUAGCUAGUUGGUAAGGUAACAGCUUACCAAGGCGACGAUGCGUAGCCGACCUGAGAGGAUGAUCGGCCACACUGGAACUGAGACACGGUCCAGACUCCUACGGGAGGCAGCAGUGGGGAAUCUUCGGCAAUGGGCGAAAGCCUGACGCAGCAAUGCCGCGUGAGUGAUGAAGGUCUUCGGGUCGUAAAACUCUGUUGUUAGGGAAGAACAGGUUUGGACGUAAACCUGCAGGUCUUGACGGUACCGUAUGAAUAAGCACCGGCUAACUACGUG